rnacentral:rRNA from 1 species
GACGAACGCUGGCGGCGUGCUUAACACAUGCAAGUCGAACGCUGAAGCUCAGCUUGCUGGGUGGAUGAGUGGCGAACGGGUGAGUAACACGUGAGUAACCUGCCCUCUUCUUUGGGAUAACGCCCGGAAACGGGUGCUAAUACUGGAUAUUCACUGAUUCUCGCAUGGGGGUUGGUGGAAAGGUUUUUUCCGGUGGGGGAUGGGCUCGCGGCCUAUCAGCUUGUUGGUGGGGUGAUGGCCUACCAAGGCUUUGACGGGUAGCCGGCCUGAGAGGGUGACCGGUCACAUUGGGACUGAGAUACGGCCCAGACUCCUACGGGAGGCAGCAGUGGGGAAUAUUGCACAAUGGGCGAAAGCCUGAUGCAGCGACGCCGCGUGAGGGAUGGAGGCCUUCGGGGUGUAAACCUCUUUCGCUCAUGGUCAAGCCGCAGCUUUGGGUUGUGGUGAGGGUAGUGGGUAAAGAAGCGCCGGCUAACUACGUG